AACUUCAAUCUUUGUGUCGCAUCUCAGAAAAAAUUCUCUAGGCUAGCCCGGACAUGAGAGAAACAAAUCUUUUGAAUAUCCUGAUAUGGUUGUGCCUUUUAAGAGAUUGUUGUUGCUCACUGAUCAGGAAAUCUGGCGGAUAGAAGCCGCCUGUUUAGAUGUGAAUUGUGUUUGUGCAAUGCCUGGAAAACGGAUGGAGUAAAUGUUAUGUGAAAUAUGUUUGCAUCAUUUAUGUGACCUAAGUAUAAAAUUCUUUUUUGUUGCGAGUGUGGAUUAAUGUAUCAAUUUUGGAGUUUACUUCGAAUUUUCAGUAUUGAUCCAAGCGUCCCUUUUCUUCACAAACACGCAGAAAAUAUUUUGCAAUCUAUGCAAACACUUGCUCUGCAAGUUUUAGUGAUAGAGUUAAGAAUAGAAUUGCACUUAAUGAGCCUAUCCAAACAGCAAUCAAUGGUCAGGACACUGGGAUUUUUGCACCUGGAAGACAUGAACAACUCAUCGACGGAACCUUAUUCGGCUUCGCACAACUUGGUCCAUGCAGCAGCUGUUUCCAUAUACCGUAUUAAGCAAGCCAGCUGAUCCAAGCGUUUUAUCUUCUAGAUAAAUUACUUUGUAUUUACAGUUGUCAUUCAUCGUCUUUUCAUCUGUAUAGGGUAUUGCAUUCUUUUGUAUUAUCCAAAGUGUUCUCGAACUGGCUGUGGUAUUCAAAACAGUGUUAGUUUACAUAAAUGAAGCUAUUGUGUCAGGCUGCACCAUUCUUACCUGUAUCCGCCUUUUUCCCCGCUAAGCUUUGAAAGAGUUGUUAGCUAUUCAAACGAGAAUGUUUUUUUGUCUUUCAAUGAAAUAGUAGAAGGUGAGUGAAACUGCUUAAUUAUUGCAUUAAAGUUACUGGACACUGGCUACUUCUACUCUUAUUCAAUAUCGUAAAGCAAAGUUCUGGUUCAUCAUAGGAAAUUGAACUGCCUCAGAAGGAGAAGCGAGGCAGAUAGGGUUGGUGGUCGCCUGCGAGUGUCAGAACCGAGCUAGUUCGAACAAAAUAGAACAUAAGAAAGCAGCAGCUAGGCGCCUCGAGUUUCAGCUUGGAUGGUAGUUCUCCUUGCAAUUUCUUAGGUCAAAAAUCGGCUCGGUUAAUGGUUGUUGAACUAUUUAAUCUUUCACACUCUAGCUAACAUAUAUACUAAUAACGCGUGAUUAUUGAGUGUUA